rnacentral:rRNA from 1 species
UACUCAUUAAGGCUGAGCUGUGAUGGGGAGAAGACAUUGUGUCUUCGAGUCGUUGAUUUCACACUGCCGAGAAAAGCCUCUAGAUAGAAAAUAGGUGCCCGUACCGCAAACCGACACAGGUAGUCAAGAUGAGAAUUCUAAGGUGAGCGAGCGAACUCUCGUUAAGGAACUCGGCAAAAUGACCCCGUAACUUCGGGAGAAGGGGUGCUCUUUAGGGUUAACGCCCAGAAGAGCCGCAGUGAAUAGGCCCAAGCGACUGUUUAUCAAAAACACAGGUCUCUGCUAAACCGUAAGGUGAUGUAUAGGGGCUGACGCCUGCCCGGUGCUGGAAGGUUAAGAGGAGUGGUUAGCUUCUGCGAAGCUACGAAUCGAAGCCCCAGUAAACGGCGGCCGUAACUAUAACGGUCCUAAGGUAGCGAAAUUCCUUGUCGGGUAAGUUCCGACCCGCACGAAAGGCGUAACGAUUUGGGCACUGUCUCAACGAGAGACUCGGUGAAAUCAUAGUACCUGUGAAGAUGCAGGUUACCCGCGACAGGACGGAAAGACCCCGUGGAGCUUUACUGUAGCCUGAUAUUGAAAUUCGGCACAGCUUGUACAGGAUAGGUAGGAGCCUUUGAAACGUGAGCGCUAGCUUACGUGGAGGCGCUGGUGGGAUACUACCCUAGCUGUGUUGGCUUUCUAACCCGCACCACUUAUCGUGGUGGGAGACAGUGUCAGGCGGGCAGUUUGACUGGGGCGGUCGCCUCCUAAAAGGUAACGGAGGCGCUCAAAGGUUCCCUCAGAAUGGUUGGAAAUCAUUCAUAGAGUGUAAAGGCAUAAGGGAGCUUGACUGCGAGACCUACAAGUCGAGCAGGGUCGAAAGACGGACUUAGUGAUCCGGUGGUUCCGCAUGGAAGGGCCAUCGCUCAACGGAUAAAAGCUACCCCGGGGAUAACAGGCUUAUCUCCCCCAAGAGUUCACAUCGACGGGGAGGUUUGGCACCUCGAUGUCGGCUCAUCGCAUCCUGGGGCUGUAGUCGGUCCCAAGGGUUGGGCUGUUCGCCCAUUAAAGCGGUACGCGAGCUGGGUUCAGAACGUCGUGAGACAGUUCGGUCCCUAUCCGUCGUGGGCGUAGGAAAUUUGAGAGGAGCUGUCCUUAGUACGAGAGGACCGGGAUGGACAUACCUCUGGUGUACCAGUUGUCGUGCCAACGGCAUAGCUGGGUAGCUAUGUGUGGACGGGAUAAGUGCUGAAAGCAUCUAAGCAUGAAGCCCCCCUCAAGAUGAGAUUUCCCAACUUCGGUUAUAAGAUCCCUCAAAGAUGAUGAGGUUAAUAGGUUCGAGGUGGAA